GUGGAUAACAGUUGGGCACCAGCGGUAAAUGAGGAGACCCCAAGUUUGCCAUCCAGUUCCUUCUGCCCAAAUUGUGGAACUGGAAUGGAAAAGGAGAAAAAUCAGAAGCAGACUCAGACUACCGAACUUAACUUUGGAGUCUUGGAUGGUCAUAAGCCAAUGUUGACUGCUGCAAGUAGAAUUGCCAUUUCAAAGCAAUUACAGUGUCAAGUAUUGUUUCUUUGUGUUUCCAUUGUUAGUUUUCCAUGACUAGGAUAAAAA